rnacentral:rRNA from 1 species
GUCUCCUACGGGACGCAGCAGUGGGGGAUAUUGCACAAUGGGGGAAACCCUGAUGCAGCGACGCCGCGUGGGCGAAGAAGUAUUUCGGUAUGUAAAGCCCUAUCAGCAGGGAAGAAGAAAUGACGGUACCUGAGUAAGAAGCACCGGCUAAAUACGUGCCAGCAGCCGCGGUAAUACGGAGGAUGCGAGCGUUAUCCGGAUUUAUUGGGUUUAAAGGGUGCGCAGGCGGCACGGCAAGCCGGCGGUCAAAUCGCGGGGCUCAACCCCGCCCAGCCGUCGGAACUGCCGGGCUAGAGUGGGCGAGA